rnacentral:misc_RNA from 1 species
GUGUCCAAAGGCAGGCUCAGU